CAGCUCACAGCUCGUUGCGGCGGCUCCGUUGUUGAGUUUGAAGGAACCUUGAAGGUCAAAAUUGACAAUUAGUAACUUGUACGUACUGACAUGGAUAUAGUAUUGAAAAUUAUGGAAGAGAGACUACAAAAAAAUGGAGAAAAACAUACGAGUAAAAUACGUCUGAGCAUUUUAUUCCUCUACACCAGAAUAACAAAAACAAAUACUAAUAAUAGAUUGGUAAUUUAGCUGGAGAAGCAAAAUACGAGAGCCGAGAGCGUUCGAGUACGCAUGACUCAGCUAACUUCCAAAGAAAAAGUGGGCAAAUACGCGUCUGUGCGAGUGUAUGCCGAAUCUACCAACCCACGACCAACUACACGCAGUUACCCACCUAUUCGCCAACACGGCAAUGUACGAGUAUAAUACAUAUGUAUAUUGGAAGGGAGCGUCUUUAAGAUCGCAGACUCCCUCUUAUUGUUCAAGUCGGAACAUUCGAAGAAGCAGUUAACUCCACUCCAG